GAUGAACGCUGGCGGCGUGCCUAAUACAUGCAAGUCGAACGAGGAGAUUGUAGCAAUACGGUCUUCGAGUGGCGAACGGGUGAGUAACGCGUUGGUGACCUGCCCCGAAGUGAGGGAUACCAGUUCGAAAGGACUGCUAAUACCGCAUGUGGUUGGAGAGGUUAGAGGCUUUUCAACUAAAGGAGCAAUUCGCUUCGGGAGGGACCUGCGACCCAUCAGCUAGUUGGUAGGGUAACGGCCUACCAAGGCGACGACGGGUAGGGGACCUGAGAGGGUGACCCCCCACACUGGCACUGAAACACGGGCCAGACACCUACGGGUGGCUG
rnacentral:rRNA from 1 species